rnacentral:rRNA from 1 species
AAUUACGGCCAUGCCACCCUGAAUGCGCCUGAUCUCAUCUGAUCUCCGAAGUUAAGCAGGGUCGAGCCUGGUUAGAACUUGGAUGGGAGACCACCUAGGAAGACCAGGUGCUGUAGGCA